rnacentral:misc_RNA from 1 species
GUCACUACUGAUUCAAUCCAUGUUAUCGAUGGGGCAGCUCAAACAGCUUAGACAAAUUGAACUGAAAACUGACAAUUAAAUCAAUAAUUCAACCUCGACUUUAAAAUCAUUGGAAUUAAAUGGAGGAUUUCUACAAUCCCAUUGGGCCUAAAAUUCUACCUCUACCACCUAGCCUGGCUUGAUCAGCUAAGGGCAUACCACUCAAUUAGCAAAGCAACGUUCAAGCCCCUAUUCCCCGAAUCCCACUACUCAAAAAAAAAUUAUAAAAAUAAAUAAAUAAAAUUCUACCCCCCAACCGUGAGAACAUAUCUUCAUUACUUAGCAGUCCUAUCUUUCUGAAAGAUGGAUGCAUUUUGAAACAGUUCUGAAGAUUUCUAUAUCAUGUGUCAAAAAUUAAAUUAUUUAAAUGCAACUUCAUUCAGAUGAUAUGAACUACUACACAAAAGUGCCACUUUAUCUAGAUGCCAAACCCUCGUUUGUCUGGUUCUUGAGGCCUCGGGUCAGAGCUCAUCUUCAUGCUCACAAAAUAACCAACCAUUGCCUAGCCAAAUAAAAUGACAACAAAGUAGACAUGGUAAAAUAAUUAGAAAAGUUUAUGCAUGUAUCCCAUAUAGCCAGUAAUCCAUCAGAGUGCAAACCUGUAGUUGCUCUCAAUAGAAAAGCAUCCACACCCAGAAACAAAAUGAAUUGGCUGUCUCAAAAAGUCCUUAUAAUACCUAGGCAUAGCACUGUGACAUGCAAUUGCAGUUAGAAAGAUAAAAUGAAGCAUUAACAUUCGAAUGUUAGAAUCAUCUCAUAUUGCAAUCAUAGGAUACAUCUGGUAGGGGUCAUCUAAACCAAAAGCCAUAUAAUCUAAAUGCAAGCACUCCGAUUACUUCUUGAAGAGCUAGAGUAAAAUUUUAAACACAAUAUUAAUACAAAGACCUUAUCUCAAGAUAAUGCAGGAGACUCCAGCUUACAAGGUCUUUCAUUUGGGUCCAUUGAUGUGAUUCAACCAUUCAAGUUACCAACAUAUCACCUAUGCUUAAAGAUACUUCCAUCUUGCCAGACUAAGAAAAUAGCUAGCGAUUCCGUUCUGGAGGCAAUGGCCGAUUGAAUCCUCCCCUUCGGUUCAUAUAUUGCCUGGGCUGCCGCUUCGUAACCACUCUCACUCCACUGACGUCCGCACCAGGCACUGGCUUCCCCUUGGUAGAAUCGAAGCCAAUUGGAAUCCCUAACUUCUUCAUCAUCUCAAUCUCAUCCUCAUCCACUAAAGAUCCUUCUACCACUACUUCUCCCUCUCCUCCUUCACCACCACCAUCACCACUAGUAUUGUUAUUCCCAAUCCUCUCCAUCUGCUCCCUUGCGAUCCCAUCCAGGAAAUCUGACACAGCUGCCCUUUGUCUAUCCCUCUCUCUUUCUCUUUCCUUUUCUUUAUCUCUGCCUUCUUCGGUCUCAUAGCGGUGACGUUUUCGGGGUGGCGAUGGGGAUGGGGUGCGCUGGUGGCGAUGGCGGCGGUGAGAACGAGACUCCGGAGAGCGUGAGCGAGAACGAUGGCGCUCAGGGGAGCGGGCGUGUCGUGAGCGUGUGCGGUCAGGUGAGCGGGUGCGGGAGCGGGUGCUACGGGUGCGGUCUCUGUCUCGGUCGCGGUCGCGGUCACGGUCAUGGUCGCGAUCACGAUCUUCUUUGUCUCGGCGUCUU